rnacentral:rRNA from 1 species
GUUAGUUUUUAUGAGCGUUCGGUGGAUGCCUUGGCAUCAGGAGCCGAUGAAGGACGUUGUGGCCUGCGAUAAGCCUCGGGGAGCCGGCUAACGGGCUGUGAUCCGAGGGUUUCCGAAUGGGGAGACCCGGCAAGGGUAAUGCCUUGUCACCCUCGUCUGAAUACAUAGGGCGAGUGGGGGUAGACGCGGGGAAGUGAAACAUCUCAGUACCCGCAGGAAAAGAUAUUCCGUGAGUAGUGGCGAGCGAAAGCGGAGGAUGGUGAAACCAUGCGUGUGUGAUACCCGGCAGGGGUUGCGCGUGUGGGGUUGUGGGACGUCUUGUACUUUUGCUGCCGCAAGAGUGUGUAGUGAUAAACCAUGGUGGUAGUUGAACGGUCUGGGAAGGCCGGGCGUAGUGGGUGAGACCCCCGUAGACGAAACUGCUGUGGCUGCAUAUAGGCGCUCCCAAGUAGCACGGGGCACGUGGAAUCCUGUGUGAAUUUACCAAGACCACUUGGUUGCCUAAAUACUUCCUGAUGACCGAUAGCGGAUUAGUACCGUGAGGGAAUGGUGAAAAGUACCCCGGGAGGGGAGUGAAAUAGUACCUGAAACCGGGCGCUUACAAGCCGUCAGAGCCUCUCUUGUGGGGUGAUGGCGUGCCUAUUGAAGAAUGAGCCUGCGAGUUAGUGGCGUGUCGCGAGGUUAACCCGUGUGGGGGAUCCGUAGCGAAAGCGAGUCCGAAAGGGCGGUUGAGUGGCACGUUCUAGACCCGAAGCGGGGUGAUCUACCCAUGGCCAGGUUGAAGCACGUGUAAGAGCGUGUGGAGGACCGAACCCACUUAGGUUGAAAACUGAGGGGAUGAGCUGUGGGUAGGGGUGAAAGGCCAAUCAAACUCCGUGAUAGCUGGUUCUCCCCGAAAUGCAUUUAGGUGCAGCGUCACGUGUUUCCCAGCGGAGGUAGAGCUACUGGGUGGCUGAUGGGCCCCACAGGGUUACUGACGUCAACCAAACUCCGAAUGCCGUUGGGUUCUAGCGUGGCAGUGAGACUGCGGGGGAUAAGCUCCGUAGUCGAGAGGGAAACAGCCCAGAUCGCCGGCUAAGGCCCCUAAGCGUGUACUAAGUGGGAAAGGAUGUGCGGUCGCGCAGACAACCAGGAGGUUGGCUUAGAAGCAGCCACCCUUGAAAGAGUGCGUAAUAGCUCACUGGUCAAGUGAUCGUGCGCCGACAAUGUAGCGGGGCUCAAGUACACCGCCGAAGCCGCGGAUCCAUCACGUGUUCCCUCCAGUUUUUGGCAGGGGUGAUGGGUGGUAGGGGAGCGUUCUGCACCGGGUGAAGUCACAGAGUGAUCUAGUGGUGGACGGUGCGGAAGUGAGAAUGCAGGCAUGAGUAGCGAUACUAGGGUGAGAAACCCUAGCGCCGAAUGACCAAGGGUUCCAGGGCCAGGCUAGUCCGCCCUGGGUGAGUCGGGACCUAAGGCGAGGCCGACAGGCGUAGUCGAUGGACAACGGGUUGAUAUUCCCGUACCGGCGAAACACCGCCCAUGCUGACUUAAGGGUACUAACCCACGCCAUGAUCUUUCGUUAACACUUCGGUGUUUUUGUUGGUGAGUGGUCUGGGGACCAGCCUUAUUGGUAGGCAAGCGUAUUAACAGGGGUGACGCAGAGUGGUAGCUUCCGCGGGCCUAAUGGCUUGGCCCGUCCAAACGAGCAGCCCGUUUCUUAGGCAAAUCCGGGAAACAUGAGGGUGAGACGUGAUGGUGACCUAACAUUUGUUGGGGAAGUAGGGUGAUCCUGUGCUGCCGAGAAAAGCCUCGACGCGAGGUGUUAGCCGCCCGUACCCUAAACCGACACAGGUGGUCGGGCAGAGUAUGCCUAGGCGCACGAGAUAAUCAUGGUUAAGGAACUCGGCAAAAUGCCCCCGUAACUUCGGGAGAAGGGGGGCCCGAUCCUUGAAGCCACUUGCUGGCUAGGGGGGAGGGUCGCAGAGACCAGGGAGAAGCGACUGUUUACUAAAAACACAGGUCCGUGCGAAGCCGCAAGGCGAUGUAUACGGACUGACGCCUGCCCGGUGCUGGAAGGUUAAGAGGAACCGUCAACCCUUCGGGGUGAAGCGGUGAAUUUAAGCCCCAGUAAACGGCGGUGGUAACUAUAACCAUCCUAAGGUAGCGAAAUUCCUUGUCGGGUAAGUUCCGACCUGCACGAAUGGCGUAACGACUUCUCCACUGUCUCAACCAUGAACUCGGCGAAAUUGCACUACGAGUAAAGAUGCUCGUUACGCGCAGAAGGACGGAAAGACCCCGGGACCUUUACUAUAGCUUGGUAUUGGCGCCCGCCAUAGCUUGUGCAGGAUAGGUGGGAGACUGUGAAGCAUGAACGCCAGUUUGUGUGGAGUCAUCGUUGAAAUACCACUCUGGUUAUGGCGUGCGCCUGAACCUCGGCCCGUGAUCCGGGUCAGGGACAGUGCCUGGUGGGUAGUUUAACUGGGGCGGUUGCCUCCUAAAAUGUAACGGAGGCGCUCAAAGGUUCCCUCAGCCUGGUCGGCAACCAGGUGUUGAGUGUAAGUGCACAAGGGAGCUUGACUGCGAGACUGACAGGUCGAGCAGGUACGAAAGUAGGAACUAGUGAUCCGGCGAUCCCGAGUGGGUGGGUCGUCGCUCAACGGAUAAAAGGUACCCCGGGGAUAACAGGCUGAUCCUGCCCAAGAGUCCAUAUCGACGGCAUGGUUUGGCACCUCGAUGUCGGCUCGUCGCAUCCUGGGGCUGGAGCAGGUCCCAAGGGUUGGGCUGUUCGCCCAUUAAAGCGGUACGCGAGCUGGGUUUAGAACGUCGUGAGACAGUUCGGUCCCUAUCCUCUGCGCGCGCAGGAAACUUGAGAAGGCCUGUCCCUAGUACGAGAGGACCGGGACGGACGAACCUCUGGUGUGCCAGUUGUCCCGCCAGGGGCACGGCUGGUUGGCUACGUUCGGAAUGGGUAACCGCUGAAAGCAUCUAAGCGGGAAACCAGCUUCAAGAUGAGGUUUCCAUCAUCCUUUGGGGUGGUGAGGCUCCCAGUAGACUACUGGGUUGAUAGGCCGGAUGUGGAAGACCCGUAAGGGAUCGGAGCUGACCGGUACUAAUAAGCCGAUACCAACAACA